rnacentral:misc_RNA from 1 species
GGGCAGUACCAAUGCAUAGAGGGAGCUUGUUCAUCGGAGAACAAAUUACAGGUCUCUUCUCCGCUGAAGAAAUUGUGUUCUUCAAUUUUCACAAAUUGUUGUGCAUUAUUAUAAGCAGCCUUUUGAAAGGGGAAGCAGUUCAAAGAAGACGCCGGAGACGACAUAAUUUGGUGAUGGCUUUCGAGCAUUCCGGCAGCCGCGGAUGAAACGACGGCGUUUGGGCUGUUGUCUUCGUUCAAUAUGGCGCUUGAGUCGCUGUCCGAUGACCCAUCUUUAAAAUCAGGGAAUAAUGACACUUCAACUCUUUGAUCAUCGCCGUCAUCGGCGCCGACGGUUCUGAAGCUCUCGUAGUUGAAGUCAUCGGAAUGAUCCGAAGCAACGGGAAGAGAAACAUGAUCCACAGGAAGAUGAUUAGUUGUCUGUUCAAUUAGUAAAUUGUCCGAUUCCGACACGAAAAUCUCUUCCUUCACUGACAAAU